rnacentral:lncRNA from 1 species
UCCCCUCUCUCUCUACCAUCUCUCUCUCUCAAUUAUCUCUCUACCAUCUCUCUCUAGGCAUAUUGCAUUAUAUAGUCCUUUUCUUUUUUCUUUUUUUUUUUUUGAGAGAGAUAGAUAGCACGCUACCCGCUUUGUUUAUCUCAUUUAGAAAUAAACUUAGCUAGAAAUGUGAAUCAACUAAGAUUUGAACUUGGGUCUCGAGUACCAACCAUCAAGCUCUUUGCCACUUGCUCUAGGGACGGUCGGUAUAUAGUCCUUAUCACAUGGAAAAUUCUUUGGGCCCCCUCUUAUGGUUGGGUAUACCUAAUGUUUGGUCAGUGUUGUACAAGUAAAUCUGUGUCUUUAUAAUUUGAUCAUCUCUCUGUUAUUAGGCAGAUAUUUUAGUAUAUAUGUAGUUUUUUUGAU